rnacentral:rRNA from 1 species
UCAAGUAAUUAAGUGCAUGUGGUGGAUGCCUUGGCAGUCAGAGGCGAUGAAAGACGUGAUAGCCUGCGAAAAGCUCCGGGGAGGCGGCAAAUAUCCUUUGAUCCGGAGAUGUCUGAAUGGGGGAACCCACCUACUUUAAGGUAGGUAUUGCAACAUGAAUACAUAGUGUUGCAAGGCGAACGAGGGGAAGUGAAACAUCUCAGUACCCUUAGGAAAAGAAAUCAAUUGAGAUUCCCUCAGUAGCGGCGAGCGAACGGGGAUCAGCCCAUUAAGUUAUGUGUGUUUUAGUGGAACGCUCUGGGAAGUGCGAACGUAGAGGGUGAUAUUCCCGUACACGAAAGGGCACACAUAAUGAUGACGAGUAGGGCGAGGCACGUGAAACCUUGUCUGAAUAUGGGGGGACCAUCCUCCAAGGCUAAAUACUCCUGACUGACCGAUAGUGAACCAGUACCGUGAGGGAAAGGCGAAAAGAACCCCUGUGAGGGGAGUGAAAUAGAUCCUGAAACCGCAUGCAUACAAGCAGUGGGAGCACCUUCGUGGUGUGACUGCGUACCUUUUGUAUAAUGGGUCAGCGACUUAUAUUCAGUAGCAAGGUUAACCGUAUAGGGGAGCCGUAGAGAAAUCGAGUCUUAAUAGGGCGUUUAGUUGCUGGGUAUAGACCCGAAACCAGGCGAUCUAUCCAUGAGCAGGUUGAAGGUUGGGUAACACUAACUGGAGGACCGAACCCACUGUCGUUGAAAAGCCAGGGGAUGACUUGUGGAUAGGGGUGAAAGGCUAAUCAAGCCUGGUGAUAGCUGGUUCUCCCCGAAAGCUAUUUAGGUAGCGCCUCGGACGAAUACCAUAGGGGGUAGAGCACUGUUUCGGCUAGGGGGUCAUCCCGACUUACCAAACCGAUGCAAACUCCGAAUACCUAUGAGUACUAUCCGGGAGACAGACUGCGGGUGCUAACGUCCGUAGUCAAGAGGAAAACAAUCCAGACCGCCAGCUAAGGCCCCAAAAUCAUAGUUAAGUGGGAAACGAUGUGGGAAGGCAUAGACAGCUAGGAGGUUGGCUUAGAAGCAGCCACCCUUUAAAGAAAGCGUAAUAGCUCACUAGUCGAGUCGGCCUGCGCGGAAGAUGUAACGGGGCUAAAACUAUGUGCCGAAGCUGCGGAUUUGACAUUAGUCAAGUGGUAGGGGAGCGUUCUGUAAGCCGAUGAAGGUGUAUUGAGAAGUAUGCUGGAGGUAUCAGAAGUGCGAAUGCUGACGUGAGUAACGACAAAACGGGUGAAAAACCCGUUCGCCGAAAGACCAAGGGUUCCAGUCCAACGUUAAUCGGGGCUGGGUGAGUCGACCCCUAAGGCGAGGCCGAAAGGCGUAGUCGAUGGGAAAAUGGUUAAUAUUCCAUUACUUCUGUGUAAUGCGAUGAGAGGACGGAGAAGGCUAAAUCAGCCUGGCGUUGGUUGUCCAGGUGAAAGGAUGUAGGCAUGUAUCUUAGGCAAAUCCGGGGUACUCUAUGCUGAGAUCUGAUAGCAAGCUGUACUUGUACAGCGAAGUGGUUGAUGCCAUGCUUCCAGGAAAAGUCUCUAAGCUUCAGUUACACAGGAAUCGUACCCGAAACCGACACAGGUGGUCAGGUCGAGUAGACCAAGGCGCUUGAGAGAACUCUGCUGAAGGAACUAGGCAAAAUGGUACCGUAACUUCGGGAGAAGGUACGCUGUUGUUGGUGAUGGAACUCGCUUCCUGAGCUGACGACAGCCGCAGAAACCAGGCCGCUGCAACUGUUUAUUAAAAACAUAGCACUCUGCAAACACGAAAGUGGACGUAUAGGGUGUGAUGCCUGCCCGGUGCUGGAAGGUUAAUUGAUGGGGUUAGCGUAAGCGAAGCUCUUGAUCGAAGCCCCAGUAAACGGCGGCCGUAACUAUAACGGUCCUAAGGUAGCGAAAUUCCUUGUCGGGUAAGUUCCGACCUGCACGAAUGG